UGCCAGCCGCCGCGGUAAUACGUAUGGUGCAAACGUUGUUCGGAAUCACUGGGCAUAAAGAGCACGUAGGCGGUUUGAUAAGUCUGCAUGUGAAAUCCCUCGGCUCAACCGAGGAACUGCAUCGGAUACUGUCGAACUAGAGUGCAGUAGGGGAGAGUGGAAUUCCAGGUGGAGCGGUGAAAUGCGUAGAUAUCUGGAGGAACGCCGGUGGCGAAAGCGACUCUCUGGACUGCAACUGACGCUGAGGUGCGAAAGCCAGGGGAGCAAACGGGAUUAGAUA
rnacentral:rRNA from 1 species